GGAAUAUUGGACAAUGGGCGCAAGCCUGAUCCAGCCAUGCCGCGUGUGUGAAGAAGGCCUUCGGGUUGUAAAGCACUUUUGUUGGGGAAGAAAAGCACUGGGUUCAUACCCCGGUGUCAUGACGGUACCCAAAGAAUAAGCACCGGCCACCUUCGUGCCCGCAGCAGCGGUAAUACGAAGGGUGCAAGCGUUACUCGGAAUUACUGGGCGUAAAGCGUGCGUAGGUGGUUUGUUAAGUCUGAUGUGAAAGCCCUGGGCUCAACCUGGGAAUUGCAUUGGAUACUGGCAGUCUAGAGUGCGGUAGAGGGUAGCGGAAUUCCCGGUGUAGCAGUGAAAUGCGUAGAUAUCGGGAGGAACAUCCGUGGCGAAGGCGGCUACCUGGACCAGCACUGACACUGAGGCACGAAAGCGUGGGGAGCAAAC
rnacentral:rRNA from 1 species